AGAGUUUGAUCAUGGCUCAGGACGAACGCUGGCGGCGUGCUUAACACAUGCAAGUCGAACGGAAAGGCCCUUCGGGGUACUCGAGUGGCGAACGGGUGAGUAACACGUGGGUGAUCUGCCCUGCACUUUGGGAUAAGCCUGGGAAACUGGGUCUAAUACCGAAUAUGACCACGCUCUUCAUGGGGUGUGGUGGAAAGCUUUUGCGGUGUGGGAUGGGCCCGCGGCCUAUCAGCUUGUUGGUGGGGUAAUGGCCUACCAAGGCGACGACGGGUAGCCGGCCUGAGAGGGUGACCGGCCACACUGGGACUGAGAUACGGCCCAGACUCCUACGGGAGGCAGCAGUGGGGAAUAUUGCACAAUGGGCGCAAGCCUGAUGCAGCGACGCCGCGUGAGGGAUGACGGCCUUCGGGUUGUAAACCUCUUUCACCAGGGACGAAGCGCAAGUGACGGUACCUGGAGAAGAAGCACCGGCCAACUACGUGCCAGCAGCCGCGGUAAUACGUAGGGUGCGAGCGUUGUCCGGAAUUACUGGGCGUAAAGAGCUCGUAGGUGGUUUGUCGCGUUGUUCGUGAAAACUCACAGCUUAACUGUGGGCGUGCGGGCGAUACGGGCAGACUAGAGUACUGCAGGGGAGACUGGAAUUCCUGGUGUAGCGGUGGAAUGCGCAGAUAUCAGGAGGAACACCGGUGGCGAAGGCGGGUCUCUGGGCAGUAACUGACGCUGAGGAGCGAAAGCGUGGGGAGCGAACAGGAUUAGAUACCCUGGUAGUCCAA
rnacentral:rRNA from 1 species